UUGGAGGGCAAGUCUGGUGCCAGCAGCCGCGGUAAUUCCAGCUCCAAUAGCGUAUAUUAAAGUUGUUGCAGUUAAAAAGCUCGUAGUUGAAUUUCGGGGUUAGUAAGUUGGUCAUGCCUCCGGUAUGCACUGGCUUUACUGAUUCCUCCUUCUUGAUGAACUGUAAUGUCAUUAAUUUGGUGUUGCAGGGAAUCAGGACUGUUACUUUGAAAAAAUUAGAGUGUCUAAAGCAGGCAUACGCUUGAAUACAUUAGCAUGGAAUAAUGAAAUAGGACGUUUGAUCCUAUUUUGUUGGUUUCUAGGAUUGACGUAAUGAUUAAUAGGGAUGGUUGGGGGCAUUAGUAUUCAAUUGUCAGAGGUGAAAUUCUUGGAUUUAUUGAAGGCUAACUACUGCGAAAGCAUUUGCCAAGGAUGUUUUCAUUAAUCAAGAACGAAAGUUAGGGGAUCGAAGACGAUCAGAUACCGUCGUAGUCUUAACCAUAAACUAUGCCGACUAGGGAUCGGAUGAUGUUAUUUUUAAUGACUCAUUCGGCGCCUUACGGGAAAC
rnacentral:rRNA from 1 species